GCGCGAUUAGCUCAGCGGUUAGAGCACUUGCUUCACACGCAAGGGGUCCGGGAUUCGAUCUCCCGAUCGCGCACCA
rnacentral:tRNA from 1 species